GCAUCGAUAGCUCAGUGGCAGAGCGGUAGGGCGUUUACCCAUGCGGCCCGGGUUCGAUCCCCGGUCGAUGCA